GUCUCUUUGUUACUGAUACAUAAAGAGCCUGACCUGCCCAGUGAUAAAGAUUUAACGGCCGCGGUACUCUGACCGUGCAAAGGUAGCAUAAUCAUUUGCCUUAUAAUUAAAGGCUUGUAUGAAUGGUUUGACGAGAAUUAGCCUGUCUCUUAUAAAUUAAAAUGAAAUUGACUUUUAAGUGUAAAGGCUUAAAUUUCACUAUUAGACAAGAAGACCCUAUUGAGCUUUAAAGAUUUAUAACAACAUAAAUUAUAUUAAAAUGAGAUUAUAGGUUGUUAAACUUUUUAGUUGGGGCGACUAUUGGAACAAAUAAAACUUCCAGAGUUUUUGUAGUAUUUAAUAUUGAUUUAUUUAAAUUGAUCCAAAAUAUUUUGAUUAAUAGAAUAAGUUACCAUAGGGAUAACAGCAUAAUCUAUCUUAAGAGUUCUAAUCGAAAGAAAGGUUUGUGACCUCGAUGUUGGAUUAAAAUAUCCUAAGGGUGUAGAAGCUUUUGAGGGUUGGUCUGUUCGACCAUUAAAAUUUU
rnacentral:rRNA from 1 species